GAUGAACGCUGGCGGCGUGCCUAAUACAUGCAAGUCGAGCGAACGGACGAGAAGCUUGCUUCUCUGAUGUUAGCGGCGGACGGGUGAGUAACACGUGGAUAACCUACCUAUAAGACUGGGAUAACUUCGGGAAACCGGAGCUAAUACCGGAUAAUAUUUUGAACCGCUUGGUUCAAAAGUGAAAGACGGUCUUGCUGUCACUUAUAGAUGGAUCCGCGCUGCAUUAGCUAGUUGGUAAGGUAACGGCUUACCAAGGCAACGAUGCAUAGCCGACCUGAGAGGGGGAUCGGCCACACUGGAACUGAGACACGGUCCAGACUCCUACGGGAGGCAGCAGUAGGGAAUCUUCCGCAAUGGGCGAAAGACUGACGGAGCAACGCCGCGUGAGUGAUGAAGGUCUUCGGAUCGUAAAACUCUGUUAUUAGGGAAGAACAUAUGUGUAAGUAACUGUGCACAUCUUGACGGUACCUAAUCAGAAAGCCACGGCUAACUACGUG
rnacentral:rRNA from 1 species